rnacentral:pre_miRNA from 1 species
CACCACUCGGCGUGCCCUGUCCUUUUUGUGGUUUGGGGCUUUUGAGAUCUGGACAGAAAAGCCCUUACCUCAAAAGGGAUAG